GAUGAACGCUGGCGGCGUGCCUAAUACAUGCAAGUCGAGCGAACAGAUGAGGAGCUUGCUCCUCUGACGUUAGCGGCGGACGGGUGAGUAACGCGUGGAUAACCUACCUAUAAGGCUGGGAUAACUUCGGGAAACCGGAGCUAAUACCGGAUAAUAUAUUGAACCGCAUGGUUCAAUAGUGAAAGACGGUUUUGCUGUCACUUAUAGAUGGAUCCGCGCCGCAUUAGCUAGUUGGUAAGGUAACGGCUUACCAAGGCAACGAUGCGUAGCCGACCUGAGAGGGUGAUCGGCCACACUGGAACUGAGACACGGUCCAGACUCCUACGGGAGGCAGCAGUAGGGAAUCUUCCGCAAUGGGCGAAAGCCUGACGGAGCAACGCCGCGUGAGUGAUGAAGGUCUUCGGAUCGUAAAACUCUGUUAUUAGGGAAGAACAAAUGUGUAAGUAACUAUGCACGUCUUGACGGUACCUAAUCAGAAAGCCACGGCUAACUACGUG
rnacentral:rRNA from 1 species